rnacentral:rRNA from 1 species
AUGGUCGACCACGAACUUGGAUGUAUCAUUUUGGUCGACCACGAACUUGGAUGUAUCAUUUUGCAGCGCCAGAAGCAGCUUGAUCAUGAAUCAAAUCCUGAUGUACAAUAUCUUAACCACCGACACAUCCUAGAGGUUGAUUUCUCGACAGUUGCUCUAUGUGGCACAAGUAUUUCCGACUUCCUAGAGGUCCAGAACCAAUUCAUUGGCCCAAGUGUCUACCAUGCCAUAGAGGCCUGCCAGCUGUUCUACGUACCAGCUAUACUACGCGACGGAUGGGCAAUCCAAGUUUUUGAUCCUUCAGUCGGUCCCAAAGGAUGCAGCCAGGAUCAGCAGGCUCGACACGAGCUUAUUGCGUCGUGCUUACAUAAUGCAUUGUUCGGGUGCCUGCAUGCUGGGUGGCCAACACGAAAGGAUAACUGGUCUACCAUUUCCCCUGUUUUAUGGAUACCACAAUUACCAGGUACCACGAUGGAGAGAGUAUACCGAUCACCAAGAACAACCUUGUGA